rnacentral:sRNA from 1 species
CGGUGAAGGGCGGUGCGGAGGGCAGGGGCACGGCGGAGGCUGGUGGCGGGGCCGGGCGCCUUGGCUGCCAGCCUGCUCCGCCACGGGGCUUCCGAGGCCCGCUCGGCGGGGACUCCUGAGGCGGGCGGGGGGCCUCCGGGGCGGUUGUGUAACCAGUCUCCUCCAGUCUCCGUGAGGCCUGGAGCCUUCCGUUGCCGUGCGGUGUCAUCUGGAGCUCUCGGAGGGAGGCUUCCCACCCCGCCGCCCUGUCACCCAUGUAGCAUUAGUUAACAAAUCAUCCCAUACCUGCUCAUUUAGGGCGACACCAGUCACCAGUAAAUAACCAUUUUCUAAGGGCUCUGGCGCCACUGUUACCAAGAAGGAUCUCUUUGUGCUGUUUUUGAUUUUGCUGUGUAUUCGGGAAUCUGCAGCAUUUGGUGGAAAGGUGGGUUGUGAAAGGCACGGUUUAACGAUGGAGACGGUAGAUGGGUGUUUUAAUUGACUAGAUUAUAAGCUCCGAUAGACCGGUAAGCAGGGGGAACGCUGCUCGGUUGGUGUUUUGGUUCUGUGAGCUUUACUUGGUUGAGAGCACAUUAUGGAUUCUGGGGAUGUUGGUCAGUUUGUUGACUCUGAAAUCUGUUUUUUAAGAGGACAAAGCACUGCGUGAUUGAGUGAUUGAAAAACUUAAUUCGCCUCGCUGGCCCUUUUGCUGUGAGUAUGGGCAGCAGGCGAAUCUAAGAUUUAUUUCAGAAGAUACCAACUCCUGAUUUCUUCAAGCAAACACUGGUCGCAGCAGUCUUCUCUUUGUUCACAAGCUGGCACACCUCUCCGGUUGCAGUGGAUACUAUAUUCUCGAUGCCUAGAUCUUUCCUAGCUUCUAUGCUGAAAUAGCUGUGAAUGGCUGUCUUCUUUAUUAAAAUGUAUCUUUUCAUAUUCGUGUUCUUUUUGUGUAACCUUUUUGUGAUCUAUAGAAUUGAUGAUUUGAGAUUGCAGGUGUUUUUGAUGUGCACCUGCAGUGGUAAUUAAAUCGAGCUCACUGGUGCUUAAAUUUGUUUAAGCACAUUCUAGUAUACUCCACUACCCCAAACCUUGUCACCCAUAGACUGGAGCUUUGUAAAGCAUUACCUCAUUCCUUAAAUAGACAGACUGCAACAAAGUCACAGCAUCAGGUGUUCCGAGGAGAAGAUUGUUUGAACCUGCACAUUUGAUUUUAAAAUUGAUUCAUAUUUUUUAGACUUAGCUUUAGAAUAGUGUGACAUCUUUUGUUGUUAAAAUAGAAAUACAGUUAUGAGAGUUACUGAAAAAUCAAGGUUAUGCUACUGAAUACAAAGAAAAAUAUGGAUACUUGGUGAGCCCUCAGGGAUCUGAGCCUUCUGCUGUGGCUAAGUUAAUGUCUUAUGUUUUUUUCACCAUUGACUUGGGUGUAUUUCAGACUCCUGUAGCGGUUUUAUCGACUUGGUGGGUUCCUGUAUUUAUAAAGAUGCAUAGAACCAUUCUGUAUUGGUUUACAUUGUUUAGCUUUGUUGAGCUAUGGCAGACUCCUGUAGCAUUUUAAUCACCUUAAUGGAGUCCUAUAUCUUUGUCUUAGGGUUUUAUUGCCAAGUUCUGAUGCUUGCUGGGGCUGGAACAUGGACCCCUUAUUCAAAACAUUUUUACCAUGGUUUCCUUUACUACUCAAUCUUGUCUGCCCUGGAACUUGGUGUAUAGGUCAUGAUGGCCUUGAACUCAGAGCUCUGCCUGCCUCUGCCUUCUUAGUGCUGGUGUUAAAGGUGUGCACUACUAUGCCUGCCCCUAUACUUUUCACAAGUCAAAAGCUUGAUUGGAUGGAGUCUUGCCCUGAGGUCACCACUCCCUAUAUUACAUUUAGAAUUAGGCUUUUUAAACUUCAUCUCCUUGAGCACAAGGACCAUUACACUUCCUGGUGCCCCUUUUGUCUUCAGACUGUUCCCUUUGUAUAUUUUCCUUGCUCACCUCUUUCCUUUUUUUGUUAUAGAUCUGUAUAAAAUGGGCCACUGAUAACCACACAGUUAAAGUAGGGUAUUUUUGAAAUCUCUGCCAAAGCUGUUAAUCUAUAACCUUCCAAUUUAGCCUCAGGCAGAUUUUUGGACAAGGGUAGAAAGCAGCUACAAUCUUCACCAAAAUACCAAAGGCGUAUUCUCUAGCCCACAUACUAAUAAACUUCUCUGGAACCACUCGAGCCAGCCCCCCACCCCCGCCCCCAUUAACCUACUGUUUUCUAUGCUCCUAUUAGUAUGGCUCAUUAAAACCUUAAAGAACGGGGUUGGGGAUUUAGCUCAGUGGUAGAGCGCUUAGGCCCUGGGUUCGGUCCCCAGCUCCAAAAAAAAAGAAAAGGGAAAAAAAAAAAAAAACCUUAAAGAACACAUUCCUAAACCAGAGUGCCAAAACACCAUGGCCAAGUCAACUCUUAUGAAGGAAAACGUGAAUUGGGGCUGGCUUAUGGAUUCAGAGGUUUAGUCCACUGUCGUCGUGGGAAGCACGUGGGAAGCACGGCAGCGUGCAGGCAGAGCGCUGAGAGAGGUAGCUGAGAAUUCUGCAUCUGGAUCAGCAGGCAGCAGAAAGAAAGAGAUACUGGGCCAGGCUUGAGCAUUUGAAGCUUCUAAGCCCACCCCCAGUGACACACUUCCCCCAGGAAGGCCACACCUCCUAAUAAUGCUACCUCCUAUGGGCCUCAUUCAAAUCAUUGAAUUUUGUAAUUGAUUAUUUAUAUAGUGUUGCUCAUAACACAGGAAAAAUUUUAACUAAGAAUGAUUGACAAGGGCAGUUGAUGGGACUAGUUUGAGGCAGAAGCCAAGAAAAAAGGCUUGAAUUUUAGAAGUGUUCUUGUUCUUCAUAUCUUAAAUUCUGUCAUAUUUUGUUUGAUUUUAAACCUUAUUGCAUUGCCCAUGAAGGUAAUGAGUGCUUGGAGGACAAGGGCCCUCUGCAUAUACCCUGGAAUAUUCUUUAAGAUUCCAGGACAGGCGCAGUUAGCAUACCACAGCUCCAAUCCCUACCCUACCUGCCAAUUUGUUCUAGGGAUUUAGGUAGAACAGUUUAGGUCAUUUCUUUUAUGUGCUGCUAUGAAUUCAUUAUUUUGUUGCUAUAACAAAAUAAUCAAAGAUUAGUAAUUAUGAAGAAAACAAAAUUAUUUGCUUUUUGAUUUUGGAGGUCUAAGAAAUGAAAGGGCCCACCUUUGUCCCAUGGUUUACUUACCAGUGUAUGGAAGUUUUCACUCUGGUUUUGGUACAGACAAACUGUAGAAGUAGCAUUUUGCUGAGACAGCAGCCUUAGCUUUUUGGGUUUUGUACUUUUUCCUUCAUCAUCCUGGUCGUUUCUGUCUUUUUGUUUUAAAAGUGAACUUUCUGGUAAAGUGUAAGUUUUACAAAACUGAAACUCAGUAAUUAUAAAGUGAAUACAUCCCUAAUACUAAGACUAAAGUGUGACCAGUGUAAAAAAGGUUUCUUGUGCCUUCUCAAUUGCUUUCCCCGUGAUGAUUACCAUUAUCUUAUGAAUUUAUUUUUAUAAAUAAAUGUAGAAUCAUGCAGUGUA